rnacentral:lncRNA from 1 species
UGAGAUAUUUGAAAACAAUGAGUUUAAUACAAAGGAGAUAUUAACGCAAUACUAAGCUGAAUCUAACUAUGUCUGAAAAUAGCUCUAAACUGGACUAGAAAUACUCGGACAAGCCCCCAGCUAAAUCUAGCAAAAACUGAAACUAAAUGACUAAAGACUGAAAUGACAUUCAUGACUAUUGUCCUCGGAGAAUGAGGACUCACCACUGAAUCUACUGAACUGGAGAUCGGGAAAUCGAUCUAUGUGUGAUCUGGAUGCUGAGAACCUGAACCUACAUCACAAGAAGAUGUAGCGCAUGUAUACGUCAGUACUUGAAAGGUACUGAGCAUGUAGGAUAGAGUAAAGCUGAAAUAAAACAUAACUGAACAAAUAAAAUAGCAAGUAUAAUAAUCUGACAUGAUAAACUGAAUUCUGAGCUAACUGUAUGCAAUGACCAAUUUAUAAAAUGCUAAAACUGAAUACUGAAUAUACUAAUAAAUGGUUAAUGUAGAGAGUCUGACUAAUCUGUGGGAGUUACUAAUAACCGAUAAUAAAACCACAUGAGCUAAAUGUGGGUCUGAUGUAUAUGCCCCAUCGAGAGGAUCCAAUAUACCUUGCUAGAGGUAUAAAGACAUGCUAGCGUGAUCACUAAACUGAUUGCCCAUAGAGAGGACUUACAAUCUACUUGGCUAGUAGUUCUGGGACUAUUGACUACGCUAAACCAUAGUCCAACUCGGUAUUAUGUUACUCUCAAUGAAUUCUGUAAAUUUACUGCUUAUGUUUGAAUUUCUAUCAAUACUAGAUAGCUCCAAGCUGAACAUGCAAACUGAGAAUGCAACAAUUAAUCUGGUAAUUAUGCAUUUAUAACUGAGGCAUGUAUAUCUAAAGUGUCUGAAAUAUCUGACCUAGCAUGUGUAAUUCAAGAAUUAAAGAAAUACAAAGUUAAGGUUCUGAAAUUCAUGCAAUAAACUUAAUAAUAACAUGAUAAUCUGAUUUGGAACAUAACACUAAUAAAUUCAUAAAGUUCUAUCAAAGUUCUAGAAACCCUAGAUCUAAUCAUGAUAUCGGAAUAAAAAAUCUAACUGAAAACUAGGGACCCAAUGGGUGAAAGGAACCCACUAGUUAAAUCCCACAUGCAUGGUGAUGAAAUCCACGGAAAAAUACUUAAGUUUCGGGGCUGGAACUGCUGGAACUUGUGGUGUUCUUGAACUAAGGUUCUUGAGCUUUUUCUCUUUUUUUGCUUCUAGUUUUCUAAGUUUUGAUUUAAUGAUUUGACUUGGAUAUGUUUUAAUUAUAUUUCCAGGCUUAAAUGACUAAAAUAUGAUGAUUUAUGAUCAAAACGACGUAAAUUAGGGUUUAAAAAGAGUGGGAAAGGUCAAAAAGACCCCUGGGAAAGUUGUUGUCGGAACAAACGAUGGCCAGGACUGACGGUCCAUCGUCUGACCGAAGCCCCGUCGUGGGGUCCGUCGAUUGGGCCUGUUCGACAGGCUUUUACUAAAAUAGGUAUAACUUUUUACUCGGAGGUCUGAUUUUCGCAAGAUUGGUGGAUAUGGAAAGAUACUAUCUAUGGAUAGGUCAUGAGACACCUAAUUCAUUUUAUUAUAAGAGUUAUAACUAUUUGAAGUUGACCCAACUGCAUUUCCCCUUAACUGUCUGUAAAUUUUCCACCUACGGAACGUCGUCUGACCUACGGACCGUGGGUCCGUCCGUCGAUCAAGACUUUUCCAAAUUUUUUCCCGGAUGAAUUUUUGGGAGUUUCUGAUCCCAUCGACGGUUGUGCAAGACGAACCGUCGUCUGUCUUACGAACCGUCGAUGCCAUAGUUGGUUUCACCUGCAGAUUUCUUAAAAAAAAACUGAUUUUUGGUUUAUUUUGGCUACGGGGUGUUACAAAUACAAAGAAGAAAGAAAGUUUUCGUGAAAAAGUACAAGGAAAUCACGCUUGUUUUUUUUAUCUUUUUUGAAGAAAUAAAGUCUUUCUUAUCUUUCUCAAAGAAAUACAGAGUCUUUUAAUUUUUUCUUAAAAAAGAACUCCCAAAGAUGAAGGGUUUCUUGAAAUAAGUGUCAUUUUUUUAUAAAAUAAAUUAUAUUUUUCACAUUUAUUAUAUUUUCUCUCUUCUUUAACAAACAUUUUUAGUGGUACUUUAUGCAAUUGUUUAGUACUUAGUAUGUAUGGUAUAAUUCAAUUUUAAAUAUAUAUAGAUCCCACUUAUUCGACCAAAUGUCUCACCUUAGGGCUCUCCGGUCUUAUUUGUGUGAAAUAAAGAUGGUUCCCUUAGGAUGUGUAUAGAUUACCGUCAAUUGAGCAAGGUUACCAUCAAGAACAAAAAGUCUUCCAAAAAUUGAUGAUAUUUUUUAUUAGCUUCAGGGUGCUACUUGUUUCUCUAAGAUAGACCUCGGAGAAGGUUAUCAUUAGUUGAGGGUAAGGAAAUAUGAUAUUCUAAAGACAUCUUUCAAAACCCUUUAUGGUGAUUAUGAGUUUUUGGUCAUGUCGUUCGGUUUAACUAAUGCACCUGCAGCAUUGAUGAACCUUAUGAAUGGAGUAUUAAAACCUAAUUUAGAUAUGUUAAACAUUGUCUUCAUUUAUGACUUACUAAUCUAUUUGAGAAAUGAAGAUCAUGCUAGUCAUUCAAAAUAAUUCUCUAGAAUCUAAGAAUAGAGAGUUAUAUGCCAAGUUCUCUAAGUAUGAGUUUUGGCUUGAGUUUGUGGUAUUCUUAGGCCACAUUAUGUAUAUAGAAGGAAUAAAGUUAAUACUUAGAAAAUAGAAGCAGUACAAAAUUAGCCUAGACCCACAUCUUCAACAGAUAUUAGGAGUUCCUUGGUUUGACCAACUAUUAUAGAAGGUUCAUAGAGGGGUUCUCAUUUAUUUUGUCCCUUUUGACAAGUUAAAUCAGAAGACAAUGAAGUUUCAAUGGUCUGAAACUUGUGAAAAAAGCUUUUAAGAGUGAAGAAGAGGUUUACUAUUGCCCUAGUUUUGACAUUACCAGAAGGUAUGCAAGGUUUUAUUGUUUAUUUUGAUGUGUAUAGAGUUGGCAUGGGUUUUUUUAGUGAUGUAUAAUGCCAAAGUUAUAGAUUAUGCCUACAGAGAAUUGAAAAAUCAUGACAAAAAUUACCCAACUUAUGACUUAGACUUGGUUGUUGUAGUAUUUGCAUUGAAAAUAUGGUGUCAUUAUUUGUAUGACAUUCAUGUUAAUGUAUUCACUAAUCACAAUAGUCAUAAAUAUGUGUUUACUCAGAAAGAGCUUAAUCUCAGACAAAGAAGGUGGUUAGAAUUACUUAAGGAUUAUGACAUGAGUAUUCUUUAUCACUCAUGUAAGGCUAAUGUUGCUUUUAUGCUUUAGGAAGGUUGUCUUUGGGUAGUACCACCCAUGAGUAUUCUGUUUACAUCCCUACUCUGUCAAAAUAGGGCGAAACGUCGCAGCAACUCAAAAAUUAUUAAUUUGAUUCAAUUUUAACAAAGUUUUAAAAAUAAACGAAUUUUGAAAAGAGUCGCCACCUAAUUUUAGGAAAACUGGGAAACCUAUUAAAUAAUUUACGAAACCAAUUCGACUCUAGGUAAGGGGUUCAAGUUAUUCCGAAGGAAAGGGGUUAGGCACCCUUCGGAAUCCACAAAUGUGGUUUCUGACUGAAUUCAUUUUUUCUUUCAAAUUGAGGAAGAAUGUAAAAUAAACACAUAAAAAAACACACGAUAUACACAAUAAAAUAAAAUAAUAAUUAUCGGUCUAAGGUUUGUCUAACGUCAAUAUUCACAUAAUAAUGAAACAAAGUACGAUUCGAACUUCAUUCGAAUAAUUCAAGGAGAAACAUCUCCGGGUACCUGUAAAGACACUUAGUAAAAGAGUUAGUACCAAAUAAAUAAAAAAUAAAAAUGAAUAACUCAACUAAUAACAUAAAAAUAAAAAUCCGUCUUAUUAACACGGGAGGCCUUGGAAAUCGACAGUAAUUUCUUCAUCGGCCAUUUCAACAUAUAAAAUAUAUAAACUUAAAUUAAAAUUCCGUCUUUUUAAAAUGGGAAGGCCUCCAAAACCGACGAAGAGUUUUUUCAUUGGCCCCUUUCAACAUGUAAAAUAUAUAAACUUGAAUUAAAAUUCCGUCUUUUUAAAUUAUGGAGACCUCCAAAACCGACGGAGAGUUUUUUCAUUGGCCACUUCACAACUAAAAAUAACACAAUAAACGAUAAUAACAACAAAUUCUACCAUAGAAUAACUUAAGCUUAGAACAAAAUCAUAUGAACAAUAACAAAUAUAAAACAAUAUAAAAUUAAUUGAAACAAAUUCCUUAAGCAAUUAUCAACAUAAAUACUCGAACAGUGGUCAAAUAUUAAACAAAACAAUACAAAAUAAAUUCUUAUGAAAUAAUAGCAACAUUUAAUGUAACAAAAUAGUAAAAGAAUAACUAUCAACAAUAAAUAAAUUCAAAGCAACAACAAACUCUUUUAAUUAAAUUAAGAAUCUUCUUUAGUGAGAAAACAUACAAAAAAAAAUUAUAUAUAUAUAAAAUAAAUUAAUAGAUAAAAGAAAACUAACAAUAAUCAACUCAUCAUACGAACUCUAUUAGAAUAAUUUACAAUAAUAAUAAAAAUGAAUAAUUAAAUAAAUACUAAUAGGUAAAACAGCAGCAACUCAGUCAAGAUAAGUAGAUUAUAAAUGGAGUUUCGUAAAGUUAAAGCACAAACUUUAAAAUAAAUAAUAACUAAAAAAUUUAAAAAUAAUAAUAAAAAAUCAUGAAAGAAUAUCUCCAUUAUGCUUGUUGGAAAGAAACAACAAUAAAGAAAUCACCUCUAAUAGAGAAAUAGAACAAAUAGAUCUUUGGAGCUUUUUGGCUUGUCGUUCCAUGGCUUCCUUAGCUCCAUUUUGAUAGAGGGUUUUGAUUUGUUUGCCACAGCUUCGAAGCUCACCGAGGUUGCUCGAGCUGGCCGGAAUACCUACAAAAUAAAUCAAAAUCGUGAAGGGGAGAGAGGGAAAGGGACUGUUUCAUUUUUAUAUUUAUAUUUUUUUCUUAUUUGGCUCCGGUUCAUCGGAGCUUAAAGCUCCCCGCCGGGGUUGCUGCUAGCUGCAAAAACGAGAAAGAAACAAAAGAGUUUUGGGGGUGGUGUGGUCGGAG